UACGUAGGUGGCAAGCGUUAUCCGGAUUUAUUGGGCGUAAAGGGAACGCAGGCGGUCUUUUAAGUCUGAUGUGAAAGCCUUCGGCUUAACCGGAGUAGUGCAUUGGAAACUGGGAGACUUGAGUGCAGAAGAGGAGAGUGGAACUCCAUGUGUAGCGGUGAAAUGCGUAGAUAUAUGGAGGAACACCGGUGGCGAAAGCGGCUCUCUGGCCUGUAACUGACACAGAGGCUCGAAAGCGUGGGGAGCAAACAGG
rnacentral:rRNA from 1 species